ACAGGUGCAGAUCAUAAUGGUUGAGUUGCAAAUCAUCAGUGAUGUUGCUUCUUCCUCUAACUCUUCUUCUAUGGUGUCUUCAAAAAAAUAUGAAGUUUUUCUAAGCUUUCGUGGUGAGGACACCCGCAUGAACUUCACAAGCCAUCUUCAUGAAGCUUUGAAGAAAAAGGAAGUUGAAACCUUUAUAGACUAUGAGCUUAGAAAGGGAGAUGAAAUCUCACCAGCACUCAUCCAAGCCAUAGGAAAUUCUCUUGUAUCUAUUGUCAUCCUCUCACCAAACUAUGCUUCCUCAAAAUGGUGCUUGGAAGAACUCAGCAAGAUUUUAGAAUGUAGGAAAAAGCAAGGACAAAUGGUGAUACCUGUAUUUUACAAUAUAGAUCCAUCCCAUGUGAGGAAGCAAACUGGAAGCUAUGAGCAAGCCUUUGCAAAACAUAAGGAAGAAUCCAAUUACAACAAAUGGAAAGCUUCUCUCAAUGAAAUAGCCAAUUUAGCUGGGUGGGACUCUCAAAAUAGGACUGAAUCAGAACUCCUUAAGGAAAUUGUUGGAGACGUUUUGCAAAAAUUGACUCCUACUUACCGAAACCAACUUAAAGGUCUGGUAGGAAUUGAGGACAAUUAUGAAGAAAUUGAAUCAUUACUGAAAAUUGAGUCAACUGAAGUUAUAACCAUUGGAAUAUGGGGUAUGGGUGGCAUAGGAAAGACCACCCUAGCUACUACUUUGUAUGCAAGAUUAUCUCCUUGUUUUGAAGGUUUUUGUUUCCUGAAAAAUGUAAGGGAAAAUUCAAGCAGCCAUAAUGGACUUGAAGCUUUACAUAACAAACUUUUCGCCAAGUUGUUGGAGAUCGAAAAUCAUUGUUUUGAUAUGAAUUUUGUGAGGCGUAAGCUUAAACAUAAAAAGGUUUUCAUUGUGUUGGAUGAUGUGGACACCUUACAACAAUUAGAAUAUCUAGUUGAAGAUUAUGAUUUGUUGGGGCCAGGAAGCAGAGUCAUUGUUACAACUAGAAAUAAACAAAUUUUUAGUCUAGUUGAUGAAGUAUAUGAGGUCAAGGAAUUGAGCUAUGAUCAAUCUCUUCAACUUUUUUGUUUGACUGUUUUUGGAGAAAAACAACCUAAACAUGGAUAUGAAGAUCUUUCAAGAAGUGUAGUUUCCUAUUGCAAAGGCGUUCCUUUGGCUUUAAAAGUUAUAGGUGCAAGUCUUCGUCGAAGAAGUGAAGAGGUUUGGGAAAGUGAAUUGAGAAAGCUCCAAAAGAUCCCAAAUAUGCAAAUUCAUAACAUUUUAAAAUUGAGUUAUGAUGGCUUAGAUCGUUCUCAAAAAAACAUCUUUUUAGACAUUGCCUGCUUACUGAAAGGAGAAAACAAGAAUUUUGUAACAAGUCUACUAGAAGCUUGUGGUUUCUUUGCAGUUUCUGGAAUCGAAGUCCUUUUGGACAAAGCUCUUAUAACAAUUUCAAAUUACAAUUUGAUAGAAAUGCAUGACUUGAUACAACAAAUGGGUCAAGAAAUUGUUCAUCAAGAAUCCAUCAAAGAUCCUGGAAGACGAAGUCGAUUAUGGAAACAUGAUGAAGUGUAUGAAGUAUUGAAAUAUAACAAGAGCACUGGAAGCAGAACAAAUUUAAUGUGUCCCUUCCUCAUGGUCUCAAGUCAUUCUCUUAUAAAUUGAGGUACCUUCAAUGGAAAGGAUUUUGUCUCGAGUCUUUGCCGUCUAACUUUUGUGCUGAACAACUUGUAGAGCUUGACUUGUCUUUGAGCAAGGUUAAAAGGCUUUGGGAUGGGGUUCAGGAUCUUUCGAAUUUAAAGACAAUUCUCUUAUAUGACUUUCCAGGGCUGGUUGAGAUUCCGGACUUAUCUAUGGCAAGAAAACUUGAACGUAUUUCUCUUAUUGAUUGUAUAAGUUUGCGUGAGCUCCAUCCGUCC